AUGCCUCCCUCGCCGUCGCAGCCGCCGCCGCCGGCCACGGAGGAGGUCGAGGUGGAGGACGUCUCGGACGACGAGACGGUGGAGGGAGAGGCGCCGCCACUUGCCCCGGCCCCGGCUCCGGCUCCUGCCCCGCCGGCCGGCGGAGGUGCCGAGGCGAGCCGUGCCGCGUCGGGGUCGGGGGAGGCGGCGGGCGGAGAAGGGGCCGACGAGGAGGAGGAGGACGAGGAUGAGGACGAAGAAGACGACUCCGACGACGAAGAGGACGAGGAUUCGGAGGAUGAAGGGGACGAGGACGAGGACGAAGACUCCGACGAGGAGGGGGACGACGAAGGCCAAGAUUCCGAUGACGACGACGAAGACGAGGACUCUGAUGAGGAGGAGGACGAAGACGAGGACGAUGAAGACGAGGACGAGGACGACGACGACGACGAGUAG
rnacentral:rRNA from 1 species